GCUGCGGUAGUCUAAUGGCAUGACGGCGGGCUGUGGACCCGCAGGAGGGGGUCCGAUUCUCCCCCGCGGCC
rnacentral:tRNA from 1 species